rnacentral:rRNA from 1 species
AGUGAACGCUGGCGGUAGGCCUAACACAUGCAAGUCGAACGGCCUCACAGUAAGAGCUUUCUCUUACGGGUGGCGAGUGGCUGACGGGUGAGUAAUACAUCGGAAUCUACUUUUUCGUGGGGGAUAACGUAGGUAAACUUACGCUAAUACAGCAUCCGACCUACUGGUUAAUUCAGGGGAUCUUCGUUCCUUGCUCGUUUUACUGAGCUGAUGUCGGAUUAGCUAUUUGGUGGGUUAAAGGCCAACCAAGGCGAGGAUCAGUUCCGGGUCUGAGAGGAUGAUCAGCAACACUGGAACUGAGACACGGUCAAGACUCCUACGGGAGGAAGAAGAGGGGAAUAUUGGACAAGGGGCGCAAGCCUGAUCAAGCCAGACCGCGUGGGGGAGGAAGGUCUUCAGGUUGUAAAGCCCUUUUGUAGAGAAAGAAAAGCAGCAGAGUAAUAACCCGAUGUUGUGACGGUACCUAAAGAAAAAGCACCGGCUAACUUCGUG